rnacentral:rRNA from 1 species
CCUACGGGAGGCAGCAGUGGGGAAUAUUGGGCAAUGGGCGGAAGCCUGACCCAGCAACGCCGCGUGAAGGAAGAAGGCCCUCGGGUUGUAAACUUCUUUUCUAUAGGACGAAGAAGUGACGGUACUAUAGGAAUAAGCCACGGCUAACUACGUGCCAGCAGCCGCGGUAAUACGUAGGUGGCGAGCGUUAUCCGGAUUUACUGGGUGUAAAGGGCGUGUAGGCGGGACUGCAAGUCAGAUGUGAAAAUUAUGGGCUCAACCCAUAACCUGCAUUUGAAACUGUAGUUCUUGAGUGAUGGAGAGGCAGGCGGAAUUCCGUGUGUAGCGGUGAAAUGCGUAGAUAUACGGAGGAACACCAGUGGCGAAGGCGGCCUGCUGGACAUUAACUGACGCUGAGGCGCGAAAGCGUGGGGAGCAAACAGGAUUAGAUACCCCUGUAGUC